UUGACUUUUGCCUAGUUAAACUUUUUAAAGUUUGACCAAGUUUAUAGAAAAACAUAUUUGCAUUUCCAACACAAAAUAAACAUAUAUUCAAUCUUAGAUUUAAUGAAACUAAUUUAGUGUUACAGAUGUUGCUAAAUUUUUCUAUAAACUUGGUCAAACAUUAAAAAGUUUGACUAGGAAAAAAAUCAA
rfam:Oryza glumipatula chromosome 12, whole genome shotgun sequence.